GCCGGGGUAGCAUAGCCAGGACUAAUGCGGCGGGUUCGAGACCCGUUGACGCCGCCGCGUCACCUGGGUUCAAAUCCCAGCCCCGGCG
rnacentral:tRNA from 1 species